rnacentral:lncRNA from 1 species
CUGGCGUUCCUGCAGACGAUUUCGUCCUUCCUCCCAUCUAUGCCCAUGGCGAGCUGCUGACCGGAGAAACCAAAGUGAAGAUUAAUCCAGCAGAUGAGGCCAUCCUCGCAGACAUGGGUCCCGAGGCUCUCCGCUCUGAAAUUACCGCCUAGUCCAUGGCCUUGCUCAAAUUGGUCGAGGUGGCGACUUUUCUGAAUGGUCGGGAGUGCAAAUACUUGGAGGAGAGGGAUGAGGCUCGCAAGGAGUUGCCUCUG